CUGGCUGCAGCCCGCCUCUCUCAGUACCCUGCGCCGCUCUUCUCAGUACCCAUCCCGCAGACAGGAAAUGACGCAACACCGCAGCUCUCAGUCCCCUCAGACCGGAAAUGUCGUCAACCCUUGCGACGAAAACAAGUUACGUUAUUUCACCUCUCGCGAAAAAAACACGCUGCAAGAUCACCACCCCAUUGGGAAGAAACUAAAUCACGACCCCCAAAUGGUAGUCUUCCCAUGCAGAUACAGGGAUGUCACACAGAUCCAAAUGGAAACAUCGAACACUGUAAAACCCACUGUGCAGACAGGACCAAUGGUGACAAUAUAAGACCAUGCCGAGCUUCAUGGACGGUUCAAACUCAUCCUGCCCAGGAACGGCUGAUAUGAAAUGCAUAUUUAUAACUUGUCUAACAAGUAGCUCAUUCAAAGGUAUAAAAAAGUAUUUUUUUGGCGUGUGUAGGGUAUUAUUUUAACUAUGUAGCCUACAGAAUGCUUGUAUGGGCUCAUGUAGGUGUCUGCGUACGUUUGUAUUUAUAUAACAUAUGUCCGUGUGUAUAGAUUAUGUAUUUUUCAGGGAAGGACCAUAUUUGUGGCUGACCCCUAUGUUGUUGCAACAUGGUGAAAGCCUACAGGAUGUGACCCACACAUGCAUCUGCCUGUAAGGCUGAUUAGUAACAACUACAACUUGGAGCAUUGGUUCAUUUUCAAAGAACAGUCAAAUCAUAACAAAUUAAAUGAUCCAAAUUCCAAUUAUUUGUGGGAAGAAAAACAGAUCCAAUCUUGAGAUCAGAGAACUAUUGUUAUCUCUAAUGAAAUUCAGUAACCAUUCAUAUUGGCAUGGCGUUUCCAUGAUGAUCCAGAAUAGCCUUGUUUGGUUUUGAAGGUAUGUUCCAGUCGAUCCUUUUAUUUUGCCCCUUCAAUUAAAGCAGAAUUGCACUCCAGAUGAUUCAUCCAAUCAUUUGAAGCAAAAUUCUAAAAUGCCACUCUAAAAUUGCGAAUGUUUUGUUUCAAGGGCAUUGGCCCGGUCUCAACAUUGGUAGGGACGAAUAUAAUGCAAAUAAGGUUGCUCAAAAGUUGGUGGGGACAACUUUAGCAUCCUGAAAAGUUGGUCGUGUUAUGUCCCUACCGUCCCUAUGCAAACCUACGCCCUUGUUUUGUUUGCAUGAAUCAUUUAAACCUGACUGGUUGGUGUUCUUAUGCAUGGAAACACGUUUGUAAUUGUUUAACUACUGUAUUUAAUAUAAACCUAUAUUUUCAAUUGCAGAAAACGUUGACAGUCAAUCAACAGGGGGACAUGGAAAGAGAGGAUUGGAAGUGAAAUAGAGGGUUUUUCGGGACAGCCAUAGGGGAAGGACUGUGGCAUCUUCAUGUUGGUAGACUGAUAUGCCAACUCUGAGGAAGUGGUGGUGUAUAUUGCUAGUGGACAAUUUCAAACUUGGGUGCAUGGUGAGCCACAGGAAAGAGUUUGCCCAUUGGACAGAUAAGGCAAAAGCAUUACUGCAGGGUGAAGUGCCACCAGUCUAUCAGCUACAGAAGUGAAAUUUGAAUAUAAUUGCUGAGGAAGAGGUGCAACCACAGCUCCUUCAAGUUAGUGGUGGCCCACUCCAAAAAGAUAUGGCGGGAAAAAAUGUUUUGGUAAAAGGAUUGUGCAAGACAGCACAAAAGCCUCGGACAGGGCGGGGGGGGGGGGGGGGGGGUCAAUGCAGUAGGAGUUCCCAAGCAUCCUGCAGAUGGAAGAGGAUGAGCACGAACUACAAUGUCUUGGAGCCAUUCAAGUUCUGUUUCAACCAUCUGGAAGAUGGAUUUACCUUUUUUGAGGAGAUUGUUGACCAAAGAAAAUAUCUGGUAUUCUCUCAAUAAUAAUAAAAAAAUAAUAAAAAUAAAGUUUACCAUAUUAGAACUGG